UUUGUGUGUAUUUAUUUAUAGUCGUCACCGGGUGAUUCCGCCAGACUAUACAAAUGUUAAUUGUUUUAUGAUUUGGAGAACAGUGCAAGAUAUAGAAGCUGUUUCACUUCCGGAAGUUCUCCUAAACGCACAUGGUGUAAAGAUGCUUGUCAUUGAAUGUACUUAUCAUUUAUGAAAACAUGGCAACUGAGCAGACAUAUAUAAACACGAUUUAUGACUGGUAUGGAUAAACACAAGUCGUUUUACAAUGAUCUGUCAGUAGUUUAAAUGUUCCUAUUUUCUUCCUAAGUUAUUGCUUCACACAUGUCAAAAACAUCUUUAUACAGAGUAGCUCAACUGCAUCAUAUUCUAAAUGAUUAGUAAAUCAAUAUGCGAGAUCUUAAGAUGCGUGUUCGUAUUCGACCUUGUUACCUCAAGAAAGAUCGACUUCAAUUUUGAACUUGAACUUGUAAGGUGUUUACAUCCUGUCUAAACGACCUUGGAAGACAUCCAACAUUAAUUUCGUGGUGAAUAAUUGUUAAAUAACAAACUAAAACAACAUGACUUGUAUUUCUUUCUUUUACAUUUUAUUGAUAUAACAAAAAUGUUCAUAUUAAAUAUGACAAAAUCUACAUGUUAUCACAAAUAGUUUGUUUUUCUUCUCAUUUUGAGGCUCCUUUCAGGUAACCCUAAAAUAGUUUUUAACAGCAAACAAACCAAACACGUACACAGUUCACACAAGCUUACAACUUGAAAUUCACAUAUAUUUGAUUUCUCAUAUGGAUGAAUGGCUAGUAGUAAAUUCUAUAUCUAGUUAUAUCAAUUAAUGCA